rnacentral:rRNA from 1 species
AGGGCACCACCAGGAGUGGAGCCCGCGGCUUAAUUUGACUCAACACGGGAAACCUCACCCGGCCCGGACACGGACAGGAUUGACAGAUCGAUAGCUCUUUCUCGAUUCCGUGGGUGGUGGUGCAUGGCCGUUCUUAGUUGGUGGAGCGAUUUGUCUGGUUAAUUCCGAUAACGAACGAGACUCUGGCAUGCUAACUAGUUACGCGACCCCCCGAGCGGUCGGCGUCCCCCAACUUCUUAGAGGGACAAGUGGCGUUCAGCCACCCGAGAUUGAGCAAUAACAGGUCUGUGAUGCCCUUAGAUGUCCGGGGCUGCACGCGCGCUACACUGACUGGCUCAGCGUGUGCCUACCCUACGCCGGCAGGCGCGGGUAACCCGUUGAACCCCAUUCUUGAUGGGGAUCGGGGAUUGCAAUUAUUCCCCAUGAACGAGGAAUUCCCAGUAAGUGCGUGGUCAUAAGCUUGCUUUGAUUAAUUCCCUGCCUGCUUGUACACACACACCCCUCCCCCCCACCUAUCGA